rnacentral:rRNA from 1 species
AUGCCGUACACGGCAUCGCGGCCGUCGGCGCCGCAGCGGGCUCGGGUCGCCGCGGUGGGCGCGGGGUGGAAGGCGGCGGCGCACGCGGCGUCGUGCGGGGCGGUGCCGGGGGAGGUGGCGCGGCACCACGAGCACGCGGCGGGUACCGGGCAGUGCUGCUCGGCGGUGGUGCAGGCGAUCGAGGCGCCCGUGGGCGCGGUGUGGGCCGUGGUGCGGCGCUUCGACCGCCCGCAGGCGUACAAGCACUUCAUCCGGAGCUGCCGCCUCGUGGACGGCGACGGCGGCGCGGUGGGGUCGGUGCGCGAGGUGCGGGUGGUGUCGGGCCUCCCCGCCACCAGCAGCCGCGAGCGGCUGGAGAUCCUCGACGACGAGCGCCGCGUGCUCAGCUUCCGCGUCGUCGGCGGCGAGCACCGCCUCUCCAACUAUCGGUCGGUGACCACCGUGCACGAGGCCGCGUCGGCGGGCGCCGUCGUGGUGGAGUCGUACGUGGUGGACGUGCCCCCCGGGAACACCGCCGACGAGACGCGCACCUUCGUGGACACCAUCGUGCGGUGCAACCUCCAGUCGCUGGCGCGCACCGCCUAG